CAGGGUGUGGGGAAGUCUGGUUAACCCGCGUGCCUUGGAAGCACGAGAUCACUGGUUCGAAUCCAGUCACCCUGAC
rnacentral:tRNA from 3 species